GGGGAGUACGGUCGCAAGACCGAAACUCAAAGGAAUUGACGGGGGCCUGCACAAGCGGUGGAGCAUGUGGUUUAAUUUGAUACAACGUGCAAAACCUUACCAGCCCUUGACAUAUAAACAACAAAACCUGUCCUUAACAUGAUGGUACUGACUUUCAUACAGGUGCUGCAUGGCUGUCGUCAGCUCAUGUCAUGAGAUGUUUGGUCAAGUCCUAUAACGAGCGAAACCCUCGUUUUGUGUUGCUGAGACAUGCGCCUAAGGAGAAAUUGCCACCGAGUGACGUGCCAGCGCUACUACUUGAUUGAGUGCCAGCACGUAGCUGUGCUUUCAGCAUGAAUUUCACCAUUGGGAGCCGGUGCCUUCCGAAGCACUUUCACGUGUGAAACGAAGUCGUCUUGCCCAAGACCCACAGAGACCUACCUAUAGUGACGUCAAAGUACCAGUGAGCAUGGAGGUUCGGUUGAAAUUGGUUACGACGAUGUCGACUUGGCGGCGGAGGAAGACUCGUCAUGAAGGCCAGAAAAUGGUGUGGAACGUAGUGGUAAUACUACGCACCCCGCUCCGAAUGAAAGAAAAAGUGCGUGCCACACUCACGAGGGACUGCCAGUGAGAUACUCGAGGAAGGUGGGGAUGACGUAAAGUCCGCAUGGCCCUUAUGGGCUGGGCCACACACGUGCUACAAUGGCAAUGAUAAUGGGAAGCAAGGCUGUAAGGCGGAGCGAAUCCAUAAAGAUUGCCUCAGUUCGGAUUGUUCUCUGCAACUCGGGAACAUGAAGUUGAAAUUGCUAGUAAUCGCGGAUCAGCAUGCCGCGGUGAAUAUGUACCCGGGCCCUACACACACCGCCCGUCACACCCUGGGAAUUGGUUUCGCCCGAAGCAUCGGACCAAUGAGCACCCAUGACUUCUGUAUACCACUAGUGCCACAAAGGCCUUUGGUGGUCUUAUUGGCACAUACCACGGUGGGGUCUUCGACUGGGGUGAAGUCGUAACAAGGUAGCCGUAGGGGAACCUGUGGCUG
rnacentral:rRNA from 1 species